rnacentral:lncRNA from 1 species
CACGUGUCCAGGUCACAUGGCCUGCCAGACAGAGAAGGCGGCUGGCAAUCAUUAACUAAUGCUUUCUCCCAGGGAGAAAAAUGCUGGCUUUAAGGAGGCCGGGACGUCAGAAUUGCAAUAGAAGAGGCUGAGGCUCUAACACCUGGUGAAGGUCAUCCUCCUGCAUCAUCCCAUGGUGGAAGAUGGAAAGGCAAGGAAGUAUGGGGGAGGAAGCAAGACUACCCUUAUGCUAACUAACCCAUGACAACACAUGGCAGACCUCACCACUGGUUUUGGGUUUCCAUCGCUGUGAAGAGACACCAUGACCAAGGCAACUCUUAUAAGGGAAAUAUUUAACUGGGCCUUGCUUAUUGGUUCAGGGGUUCAGUCCAUUAUCAUUAUGGCAGGAAGCAUAGCAGCAUCCAGGCAGGCAUGGUGCUGGAGAAGAGCUCUACAUCUUCAUCUGAAGACAGAAGACUGGCUCUUAUGUCCUGGGCAGAACUUAAUCAUAGGCCCUGAAAGCCCCAACCCCAUGGUGAUGCAUCCUCUGACAAGGCCACACCUACCCCCAACAAGGCCACACCUACCCCAACAAGGCCACACCUACCCCAACAAGGCCACACCCACCCCCAACAAGGCUACACCUACCCCCAACAAGGCUACACCUACCCCCAACAAGGCCACACCUCCUAAUAGUGCCACUUCCCAUGGGCCAGCAUAUUCAAACCACCACAGCACCUGUUGUUAGAUUCCCCACUACUGCACCAGGGAUCAAGUUAUGAACACAUGAGCUUUGAGAGGUGCAUGUCAAUCAUAAUAUCAACUAAGUAAGAGGAGGGACUUGAUACCCGAUUGGUUACACUGAGGGGUACAAGAGAAAGAAUUGAGAAUGGGUAGAAGUCCACAGGUUUCUGGCUUGGUGGCUAGAGACUCCAUUCACUGGUUCAGAAUUAGGGUGUGGAGGGCAAAGGAUGGGCAGGAGGAGUGGAUUCUAAUGUCCUAUAGAAUACUAGGGUUUACAUUUCAAAAUGGCUGAGACAGCGUUCAAUCUUUGCAACACAAAGAAAUGAUGACCGGCUGAGGCGAUGAGUAUCUAGAUAUUUAUUGAAACAUCGCUCUGUAUAUCCAUGAAUAUUUGAAAUUAUUAUAUAUCAGUUGAGAAUUGAAAAAAAUGAUAUAAGAGCCAUAUGUAGUGACUCAUGCCUGUAAUCCCAGCUCUUGAGAGUCAAGGCAAGAGGAAUGCUGUGGGUUCAAGGCCAUCCUGGUCUAUACUGAGUUUCAGGCUACCCUGUACUAUAGACUGAGACCCUGCUUUAAUAAAUGAAUGAACGGAGGGUUGGGGAUUUGGCUCAGUGGUAGAGCGCUUGCCUAGCAAGCGCAAGGCCCUGGGUUCAGUCCCCAGCUCUGAAAAAAAGAAAAGAAAAAAAAUGAAUAAACGAAUGAAGAAUGAAUGAAUGAAUGAGUGGGGGAACUAGAAUGACAUGGGGGACAGCUAUGUUCAAGGUUCCCACUGGGUAUUUAGGAAGGACGUCCAGAAGGCCCUGGACAUUGCAACAGUAUUGGGGGAAGGGUAGGCUGUACUGCAGAAUGAGUGUUGGGGAGGCAGCCUGGAGAUCGUGAGAGAUAGAUAGAUAGAUAGAUAGACAGAGAGAGAGAGAGAGACAGACAGACAGACAGACAGACAAACAGACACACAAAAGCCUGGCUUCAGCUCAAAGCACAGGACUGCUGGUACUUAACUGAUUCCAGCGACCCCACCCCACUCCUCGACACACACACACACACACACACACACACACACACACACACACAGACACACUGGCUUUUCAGGGUCACAGCAUCCUUACUCAAGGCCAGGGACGCUGUGUUCCAAUGCCAGUUGUGUCACAGAGCUUCGGAGAAGGCUGGGCUUGAGGAAGAGCAGGAGGCGGGUGCAGAAGUCCUUGUUCAUCAGGUUCCAGGCAACCAUUCCCGUCAGGGAGUCUCUAGUGUGCAUCCCCUCCUCCCAGACUGUCAGAAGUAUGGAGCUGAUUUGGGAAAGCCAAAAAUGAGCCUUCCGAUCGUCACCUGGUAGGAGCCAAUGCCUGGAGCCCUCCUAAAAAAAAAAAAAAAUUACACCCAUUUCCAUGGGGUUUCAAAGUGCCUCCUGCCAGUCCGAUUCCAGAGCUUGUCCCUCUAAGUGACACCUCUACAUUUUCAUCCCCUUGACCCUUUACUGAGGUUAAACAGGCCUGUAAUCAUCACAGGGUCCCAUAGCAUAGUAGGGGGACACAGGACAGCACCCAAAAUGGGGGACUGGGGGUGGCUUUGGAGAACAGCAUGAAAUAUUGGGAGUAUCUGUUUUCUAUUAAAUGAUCUAAGAACAACUUUAUGAGGGGAAAGCAGGCUUCUCAUAAAAACAAAGACAUAUAUAUGGAUACAAUUUAAAAUUACCACCAGCUGUCCAUGAAGGAAAAAUUGAGCUGUCGCACCAAGACAAUUGCUGCUCAUCUUUGUAGCCACGCUUGAGAGUGUCGUCCAAGCGUGUCUGUGCUCACUGGCAGGCAAUACCGUAGGUGCCAAAACGCUAAGACCAUUUUCAACGGGAUGUUCUGAAGUCCGGACAGUUUCCAAACAACUAACGUGACAUUACCACCCUGAGAGUUGAUAUGCUGGCCAGGGUUUUUAUCAAUUUGUUAUUUAUCUUUUCGCCAACUUGACACCAACUAGAGCUGCCACGGAGGAGAAAUCAUCAAUUGGUCGGUGGCGGCGUUUUCUUGAUUAAUGUUUAACGUGGGAGGACCCAGUUCGAGGUGGGCGGAGCCACCCCGCGCAGGUGGGUCUGGGUUGAGUAAGGCAAGCAUUCUUCCACAGCCUCUGCAUCAGCUCCCGCCUCCAGGUUCCUGCCUCGGCGCCCUUUAGUGAUGGACCACAAGUUGUUUUGAGUUAUAUGGUCUUCAUCGCAGCGGUAAAUCACAGAUUAGAACGGGAUUCAUAAGAGCCACCAUAACUUCAUCUGACUUCUGGAUCUGCCACCAACACCACCCUCGCCACCCAAGUCCAGCUGUAAAAUCGGACUGUUUCGAACCACCAGCUCCCCACGAUGACAUGAGGACUUAUUAUCAAUUAUAACAGCUUAGGCCGUAUAGCUUAUCCUUGUUCCCCACGAGCUCGAAAAUCUUAAUUAACCCGUUAUUCUAGUCCACCAUGUGACCUGCUACCUCUCAAUGUGUCCUGGCACAUCUGACUUCCUCCAUGUCUGGCUGGCCAUUCCAGCGCCUCUCAAUUCUCCCCACAGUUCUCUGCUCAGAAGUCUUGCCUUUCCUCUCCUGCCUCAGGUAAGGAAAAGAAUGUUCACAAAGCACUCAGGCAGGGGAUGAUCCAGUGAAAAUAACAAUGUCAAGGUUCAGUCAAACACAAGCACUCAGCUCUCCGCUGGUACAGAAAUCAACAUUUGAAUAAUACAAAUAAUACAACCUUUACACGGUGCGCAAAAAGAUUAUCUCAACUUGGGGGCACAAUUUGAGAACCAUUGUCAGAGGGAG